UACGUAGGGGGCUAGCGUUGUCCGGAAUCAUUGGGCGUAAAGCGCGUGUAGGCGGCCCGGUAAGUCCGCUGUGAAAGUCGGGGGCUCAACCCUCGGAUGCCGGUGGAUACUGUCGGGCUCGAGUACGGAAGAGGCGAGUGGAAUUCCUGGUGUAGCGGUGAAAUGCGCAGAAUAUCAGGAGGAACACCAAUUGCGAAGGCAGCUCGCUGGGACGUUACUGACGCUGAGACGCGAAAGCGUGGGGAGCAAACAGG
rnacentral:rRNA from 1 species